UCUGGUGCCCGGCGGGUGAGCGCGCUGGGCGGGCGGUGCCCGGCGCUCGAGCUGGGAGCUCGGGGUCUGCAGGCGGCCCUCAAAGAGGCUAAGGGCGCCGGCAGUGCGCAGGUGGAGUGGAGACCAUGGGGCCAGCGACUGCUGGCUUUUCCCUCAACGCUACUUUCGGUGCUUUUCUUGAAAUACGGGAUUAGGACAUUCUUUCAAACCCUUUCCCCUCCGUGCGUGUGUGGGGUGUGUAACGUGGGGGGUGGGAAGUAUGUCUGGGUUCUGGCCCGCCUCCAGUUACACCACUGGGAGGCACCCAUCGGAGGAGGAGGGGGCUUGGUCCUAGUUCAUCACCGGACAGCCCUGGACGGAUGACUUCACCUUUUUGGCCCCAGCUCCGAAAGCUAUUUCAAACUGCAAGCUGGACCCACCCCAGGCAGCGGAGGACCUGCCCCCGCUCUCAGAAGGAGCCUGCCUGUGGUUGUAAUGUUUCGCGAAUGGCUGGCACUUCCCCUGCGGUUUCUGGAGGUCGCUCAGAUCUCAAGAUACACAGAACAGCUGGCCAAUGCAAUACCUCUGGCUGAUCUAGGCAAGGACUCACAAGGCAGACUGCCCGGUGGAGGCACCUGGAACUCCCCUCCUAUGUCAGCUGAGGAAACACCUGCUGCUUUGAUGGAUAAACCCCCGAAUCUCAGUGACUUAAUACAACAGAUGAUUAUUUCUUACCCACAGCAAGUCUAGUUCUCCACAUGGGCAGGGAAGGGGAGCUCUACAUCCUGUGUGAUCAUUGGGGACCCAGGCCAAAGGAGGAAGUGUCGCCAUCUUUAACGUGAUUUAAGGUCAUCCUGGAUGUCCGCAUUCAGCCAAGUGGAGGGCAAGGGGAGAGUGUGCAGCAUGGAGCAGAGGGCGUUUAUGGGGUGAGGCCUGGAGUACCACACAACACCUCUACCCAGAUGGGCUCCAGAACUCUGUGACAGGGCCCUACAUAGAUGCAACAGGAGCUGGGAAAUAAAGGCUCUGGUCUGUUGGAGCCGCUGCUGGGACAUUGGCGUUCUGAUUUGCUGAGGUCACCUCGGUGUGCUGACUGUUGCAAAAAGAGUAGCUCCGUAGGGGACCAGGACCGUGAUGUUGGGGGAGUGUAUUUCUAGAAGCUCAGAUUAGACUUUUCUCUUUCAGUCCUUCCUGUGAUUUUGUAGGCACUAAUUCCCUGUAUUAAAUCCCUUUCUGCUCAAACUAGCCAUCUGUGGGUCUGGAACAUAUACCCAAACCCUAGCUUUUACAUUCAGUGAGAGGAAAGGUCUUGGAACUGGGAGGCCAGGGUGUGAAGGAUCACUUAUAGGCACAUGGAUGAUGUCAGAACGUGGGGUGAGCAGGCAACCUGUGACCAAGAUGCCAAAGUCCUCAGUGAAUGAGAUGGCAAGGUUGACCAGUGGAACCUAUUUGAUCACUGCUGUAUUCCUAGUGUCUCAUACUUCGGGGUGUAUGUGUCUGUCUCUAAUAAAUGUUUUAAAAUGCA